GGUUUUAUGGUGUUUAUUAGAAAAUUUAUUUUUAGUAGUUUGAGCGAAAUUUAUUUGUUUCCUAAAGAGGAUUUAGUACUGAGAAGGAAAGUUUAGUUAUUUAUUUAGAAUAUUAGGUUGGUUUGUACCUUUUGUAUUAGGGUUGAUUUAUGUGGUUUUGCUUUUGUUAUUUCUCGAUGAGUAUCGGGCUAUUUUUCCUUGUUUUGUUCUCGUUGUAUAGAGUUUAAUAGGGGAUUAUAGGUAUGAAAUAUUAUUCAAGUUGCUUUUUAUCUGGUUCUUUAAGAAAUUUAAUAGUCGGUAUUGUUAUUAUUACUAUAAAUAGGGAUUAGCUUGUUUAUUUUUUAUAUUGGAUUUUAGUUGAUUUUUGUUUGUUAAGUUGAUAGUGCUUGUUUAAAUGGAGUUAUUAUUGAGCAGGUUGUUUUUAUAAUUUUUUGGUUUUAUUUUUGUAUUAAGGUUAUGUUAUGAAUUUAUACUGGUUUGUAAUAAUGAUUGUAUUAGUAAUAAUUUUUAUUUUGGUGUAUUUUUAGUUUUCUGGGUUUUGUAUAGGAUGAGUGGAAUUUUAAAAUUAGAAUUGAUGAAUUAGGCAAGAAGAACUUCUGACUGUUUAGCAAAGACAUUGUUUUUUGUUGUGGUAAAAAAUAAGUUCUGUCCACUGCUAUUAGGUGAAGGGCUGCAGUAUUUUGACUGUAUGAAGGUAGCAUAAUCAUUAGCUUCUUAAUUAGAAGCUGGUAUGAAGGUGAAACAGGGGUUUGCUGUAUUUUUUCUAUUUGUUGAAUUUUAUUUUCAUGUGAAAAAUCAUGAUUGGGUUAAUGGGACAAGAAGACCCUAAUAAGUUUUAUUUUCUUUUUUAAUGCGUGUAUAGGAUUUAAUUUGUGCAAUUUAUUUUGGGAGGUUUGGCUGGGGCGGCAUUUUAUUUGACAUAGAUUAAUUUUUAACUUAAUAUGGCGGUUUAUUGGACCUAGUUUGUUUAUAUGAGUGUGAAACUACUGUAGGGAUAACAGCGUGAUUUUUUUUGAGAGUUCUAAUUGACAAUAAA
rnacentral:rRNA from 1 species